CGGAGCUUUGCUGAAACUGCACAAAAAAUCGAGCUGGGGGGUUCCCUGGUCCCCGAUGUUGGGGCGGAGAGCGCGGCGCCGAGGGAGGGGGCGGCGCAGACCGGCCUAGGGGACACCUGGUCGAGCGCAGCCGCCGCUCCGCUCGAGCCCUGCGCUCCAGUGCCCCCACUGGCUGGAGAGCUCGCCCAGACCGGGGGUCUUCCUCCGUCGCUGACAGAUUUUAACCAUUAGAAGAAUACCAGUUCUGGAAAACAACCAAAGUUUCUUUGAUUGAAUGCCCAUGUAAUGCAUUGGAAUAUGAUAGGCGAUUAAGGUUUAACAAUGUUAAAAUGAAGAUAUUACUAAAAUGGCCCUCUAAAUAGCCCAACAAUUAUUAUUUUCUUUGUCCUAUGGAUUUGGCUUUGAAAGAUGUGCUGCUCUUAAUAAGGUCUUCACACUGUGUUAGAAAUAAGGAAGGUGAUAAAGAAUGCCUGUAAGGUUUGCACCACAGUGUUUCAAUAGCAAGGCUGAUGACUUGAGUAUGAAAGCUGUGAAUCAGGAUGCCAGGCAGACAGAAUGGAUAACAUUCUAAUUAAAUGAUCAGCAUUAAUUCUCUCUCUCGGGCAGAAACCUACGUGUUCCUCUUCCAGAGAGCUGGUGAAGCCAAAGGCAUUCUCAUAAUGAUGCGCUACACCGACUGACAUUUACCAACUGUGUCAAAGCUACAGGAGCCAGGUAGACACUGCUGGAACUUUAACGGGAAUCAAACAAGUCUAUAAGAAGCACUGAGCUGUGCCACUACCCAAUCAGUGUUCUUCCAGAGCACACAAACGAAAGUGGGAGGAGCCUUCCAAUGAGAACUGUUGUGUGAUUAAUCAAUGAGGCUGACUAAAGCACACACUUAUAAUCCCAAUACUCAGAAAGACAGAGGAAGAAGGAUAUCAGCGCAAGGCCAACAAGGCUUCAAAGCAAGUACCAACCCAGUAUGGACCAUGAGACCCUAUUUCAGAAACAAAUAAUAAAAGCUUGAUGAAGCUGCAAAAA
rnacentral:lncRNA from 1 species